ACAAGUCUUGGCCUUCAGAGGAACCAAUUCAGUGGCCAAUUGCCAUCACUCAGCGGCUUAUCGGAACUGCGGUACGCUUAUUUCGAUUUCAAUGAAUUUGAUUCCAUACCAUCUGAUUUUUUCGAUGGUCUCGUCAAUUUAGAGGUUCUAGAACUGGAUAACAAUAAUUUGAAUGUCACUACUGGAUGGUCCCUCCCGUCUCAGUUGCAAAAUUCAGCUCAGCUGAGAAAUUUGACGUUGGUAAAUAGCAAUUUGGUUGGUCCUUUGCCGGAAUUUUU
rnacentral:lncRNA from 1 species